GGUGUAGAGAUGCUGGGAUCCACCCUGUGUUGGCUGAAAUUUGAAACAGUGAACACAGCUGGUGGUAUCUCAGUGGCUCUACAUCU
rnacentral:pre_miRNA from 13 species